rnacentral:tRNA from 2 species
GCGUCCGUAGCUCAGAGGAUAGAGCGCAAGGUUGCGGACCUUGAGGUCGGGGGUUCGACUCCCUCCGGACGCGCCA